ACGGGAGGCAGCAGUGGGGAAUAUUGCACAAUGGGGGAAACCCUGAUGCAGCGAUGCCGCGUGAAGGAUGAAGUUCUUCGGAAUGUAAACUUCUAUCAGCAAGGAAGAAAAUGACGGUACCUGACUAAGAAGCACCGGCUAAAUACGUGCCAGCAGCCGCGGUAAUACGUAUGGUGCAAGCGUUAUCCGGAUUUACUGGGUGUAAAGGGAGCGUAGACGGCAUAGCAAGCCAGAUGUGAAAUGCGGGGGCUCAACCCCUGAACUGCAUUUGGAACUGUUAAGCUAGAGUAUCGGAGAGGUAAGUGGAAUUCCUAGUGUAGCGGUGAAAUGCGUAGAUAUUAGGAGGAACACCAGUGGCGAAGGCGGCUUACUGGACGAUAACUGACGUUGAGGCUCGAAAGCGUGGGGAGCAAACAGGAUUAGAUACCCUGGUA
rnacentral:rRNA from 1 species